UCAUUAGACACUUUUCUUCUU
rnacentral:piRNA from 1 species